UAGGGAAUCUUCGGCAAUGGGGGGAACCCUGACCGAGCAACGCCGCGUGAGUGAAGAAGGUUUUCGGAUCGUAAAGCUCUGUUGUUAAGGAAGAACGAGUGUGAGAAUGGAAAGUUCAUGCUGUGACGGUACUUAACCAGAAAGGGACGGCUAACUACGUGCCAGCAGCCGCGGUAAUACGUAGGUCCCGAGCGUUGUCCGGAUUUAUUGGGCGUAAAGCGAGCGCAGGCGGUUAGAAAAGUCUGAAGUGAAAGGCAGUGGCUCAACCAUUGUAGGCUUUGGAAACUGUUUAACUUGAGUGCAGAAGGGGGGGGUGGAAGUCCAUGUGUAGCGGUGAAAUGCGUAGAUAUAUGGAGGGACACCGGUGGCGGAAGCGGCUCUCUGGUCUGUAACUGACGCUGGGGCUCGAAAGCGUGGGGAGCGAACAGG
rnacentral:rRNA from 1 species